rnacentral:rRNA from 1 species
AGAGUUUGAUCAUGGCUCAGAUUGAACGCUGGCGGCAGGCCUAACACAUGCAAGUCGAACGGUAACAGGAAGCAGCUUGCUGCUUCGCUGACGAGUGGCGGACGGGUGAGUAAUGUCUGGGAAGCUGCCUGAUGGAGGGGGAUAACUACUGGAAACGGUAGCUAAUACCGCAUAAUGUCGCAAGACCAAAGAGGGGGACCUUCGGGCCUCUUGCCAUCGGAUGUGCCCAGAUGGGAUUAGCUUGUUGGUGGGGUAACGGCUCACCAAGGCGACGAUCCCUAGCUGGUCUGAGAGGAUGACCAGCCACACUGGAACUGAGACACGGUCCAGACUCCUACGGGAGGCAGCAGUGGGGAAUAUUGCACAAUGGGCGCAAGCCUGAUGCAGCCAUGCCGCGUGUAUGAAGAAGGCCUUCGGGUUGUAAAGUACUUUCAGCGGGGAGGAAGGGAGUAAAGUUAAUACCUUUGCUCAUUGACGUUACCCGCAGAAGAAGCACCGGCUAACUCCGUGCCAGCAGCCGCGGUAAUACGGAGGGUGCAAGCGUUAAUCGGAAUUACUGGGCGUAAAGCGCACGCAGGCGGUUUGUUAAGUCAGAUGUGAAAUCCCCGGGCUCAACCUGGGAACUGCAUCUGAUACUGGCAAGCUUGAGUCUCGUAGAGGGGGGUAGAAUUCCAGGUGUAGCGGUGAAAUGCGUAGAGAUCUGGAGGAAUACCGGUGGCGAAGGCGGCCCCCUGGACGAAGACUGACGCUCAGGUGCGAAAGCGUGGGGAGCAAACGGGAUUAGAUACCCUGGUAGUCCACGCCGUAAACGAUGUCGACUUGGAGGUUGUGCCCUUGAGGCGUGGCUUCCGGAGCUAACGCGUUAAGUCGACCGCCUGGGGAGUACGGCCGCAAGGUUAAAACUCAAAUGAAUUGACGGGGGCCCGCACAAGCGGUGGAGCAUGUGGUUUAAUUCGAUGCAACGCGAAGAACCUUACCUGGUCUUGACAUCCACGGAAGUUUUCAGAGAUGAGAAUGUGCCUUCGGGAACCGUGAGACAGGUGCUGCAUGGCUGUCGUCAGCUCGUGUUGUGAAAUGUUGGGUUAAGUCCCGCAACGAGCGCAACCCUUAUCCUUUGUUGCCAGCGGUCCGGCCGGGAACUCAAAGGAGACUGCCAGUGAUAAACUGGAGGAAGGUGGGGAUGACGUCAAGUCAUCAUGGCCCUUACGACCAGGGCUACACACGUGCUACAAUGGCGCAUACAAAGAGAAGCGACCUCGCGAGAGCAAGCGGACCUCAUAAAGUGCGUCGUAGUCCGGAUUGGAGUCUGCAACUCGACUCCAUGAAGUCGGAAUCGCUAGUAAUCGUGGAUCAGAAUGCCACGGUGAAUACGUUCCCGGGCCUUGUACACACCGCCCGUCACACCAUGGGAGUGGGUUGCAAAAGAAGUAGGUAGCUUAACCUUCGGGAGGGCGCUUACCACUUUGUGAUUCAUGACUGGGGUGAAGUCGAAACAAGGUAACCGUAGGGGAACCUGCGGUUG